GACGAACGCUGGCGGCGUGCCUAACACAUGCAAGUCGAACGGUGAAGCGCCUUCUUUUUUGGUGGGUGGGGAUGAGUGGCGAACGGGUGAGUAACACGUGAGUAACCUGCCCCCUUCGACUGGAUAACCGCAUGAAAGUGAGGCCAAUACGGGAUAUUCUGGGUCUGUCGCAUGAUGGGACUGGGAAAGAUACUGUUUCGGUGGGGGAUGGGCUCGCGGCCUAUCAGGUUGUUGGUGGGGUGGUGGCCUACCAAGGCGGUGACGGGUAGCCGGCCUGAGAGGGUGGGCGGUCACGCUGGGGCUGAGCCGCGGCCCAGCCUCCUACGGGCGGCAGCGGUGGGGAAUAGUGCAAGAUGGGCGGAAGGCUGAUGCAGCGCCGCCGCGUGGGGGAUGGAGGCCUUCGGGUUGUGAACCUCUUUCGCCAGUGAAGCAGGCCUGCCUCGUUUGUGGGUGGGUUGACGGUAGCUGGAUAAGAAGCGCCGGCUAACUACGUG
rnacentral:rRNA from 1 species